UCCCGCAGAAGACUCAUAUUCCUGGAGACCCACAAGCAUCUUCCUUGCAGCUUCCGCAGUCACCACGCGGUGUUAGACAAGUAGUUAACGAGGCAACAGAAACCUUGGCCAAGAGUGCAAAGAGGCAAGGCCUGCUCUGGGUUUUUACAGGACUCUCCUGGGAGGUUGGGGGAAGAACCCCACUCCGAUGCUCAUGCACCAGCGCCAUCCCAGCACAUAAAGAGAACAACAUUGACUGCAGGGAGGGAGGAUAAAGAAGCAGCAUUCUGGAGCGACCGUCCUCAAGAAGGCCAGAGUCUACGCUGGUUACGCAGAAGCCCAAGAUGCACGCAGGAAAAGAGCGCACAGUGUAUUAGAACAUAUAUUGUAUUUUAUCUUGCGUGUACUUACUGGUGACAAGACUUCAAGUGUGACAAAAGAGACCAGAGUGAAGGACAGAACGGAUCUGCGGAGGGAAGCAUCUCCUUGG
rnacentral:lncRNA from 12 species